rnacentral:rRNA from 1 species
AGGGCGCAUGGAGGAUGCCUAGGCUCUCGGAGGCGAAGAAGGACGUGAUAAGCUGCGAAAAGUUACGGUAAGGCGCAAAUAGCCCUAGACCCGUAAAUAUCCGAAUGGGGCAACCCGGCCAGCAAUGGUCAUACCGCCAAGCGGUAAGCCAACGCGGGGAACUGAAACAUCUAAGUACCCGCAGGAAAAGAAAAUAACAAUGAUUCCGCCAGUAGUGGCGAGCGAACGCGGAACAGCCCAAACCACUCGUGUUACGGCACGAGUGGGGUAGAAGGAUCCACGCCACGGCAAGAAAUAAGUUAGCAGAAUACGAUGGAAAUCGUAGCCAAAGACGGUGACAGCCCAGUACGCGAAAACCGACAGAAGCCCAGUGGACACCUGAGUAACCCAGGACACGAGAAAUCCGGGGCGAAUCAGCGGGGCCCAUCCCGUAAGGCUAAAUACUCCCGAGAGACCGAUAGCGAACCAGUACUGUGAAGGAAAGGUGAAAAGCACUUCGAACAGAAGAGUGAAAUAGUUCCUGAAACCAUGUGCCUACAAGCGGUCGGAGCACCUUCUGGUGUGACGGCGUGCCUUUUGCAUAAUGAACCUACGAGUUACUUUUUCCGGCGAGGUUAAGGAUUUCAGAUCUGCAGCCGAAGCGAAAGCGAGUCUGAACAGGGCGUAUAGUCGGAAGGAGUAGACGCGAAACCAAGUGAUCUACCCUUGGGCAGGUUGAAGGAUGGGUAACACCAUCUGGAGGACCGAACCAAUAAGCGUUGAAAAGCUUCUGGAUGACCUGAGGGUGGGGGUGAAAGGCUAAUCAAACUUGGAGAUAGCUCGUACUCCCCGAAAUGCAUUUAGGUGCAGCCUUGACCAUUACUAAUGUGAGGUAGAGCGACUGAUAAGAUGCGAGGGCUUCACCGCCUAUCAAGUCUUGACAAACUCCGAAUGCGCAUCAGUUUUACCUCAGGAGUGAGGGCAUGGGUGCUAAGGUCCGUGCCCGAGAGGAGAAGAAUCCGGACCACCUGCUAAGGUCCCGAAAUAACAGCUAAGUUAAACUAACGAAGUCAGAUUGCUAAGACAGCUAGGAUGUUGGCUUGGAAGCAGCCAUUCAUUUAAAGAGUGCGUAACAGCUCACUAGUCGAGGAGUUUGGCGUGGAUAAUAAUCGGGCAUAAGUAUUCUACCGAAGCUUUGGGAUGAGAAAUCAUCGGUAGGGGAGCAUUCCACUCGGCGUCGAAGGUGAAGCGCGAGCUUUGCUGGAGCGUGUGGAAAAGCAAAUGUAGGUAUAAGUAACGAUAAAGGGGGUGGGAAACCCCCUCGCCGAAAGACUAAGGUUUCCUGAUCAACGCUAAUCGGAUCAGGGUAAGUCGGGUCCUAAGGCUCAGCCGAACGGCGAGGCCGAUGGCAGAACCGGUUAAUAUUCCGGUACUACCUGUGGGAGUGACGUGGAGACGGAGUCGUGACAGCGCCGCGGACUGACGGAAUAGUCCGUUGAAGGGUGUAGAUGCUGAUUGUUCCAGGCAAAUCCGGAGCAAGAGUCGAACCUGAUAGUAUGGAGCGUUCUUAGAACAAUCCAAUAGUGCGUGUAAUCAUACUUCCAAGAAAAUCCGCUAAACUUAAUCCUGCAGGUACCCGUACCGCAAACGGACACACGUAGUCGGGUUGAAUAUACUAAGGCGCUUGAGUGAUUCACGGUUAAGGAACUAGGCAAACUGACCCUGUAACUUCGGGAUAAAGGGUCCUCGCUUAACGGCGAGGCGCAGAGAAUAGGUCCAGGCAACUGUUUAACAAAAACACAGGGCUGUGCAAAAUUUCAAGAUGAAGUAUACAGCCUGACACCUGCCCGGUGCCGGAAGGUUAAGAGGAGAGCUAAUCGCAAGAGAAGGCUUGAAUUGAAGCCCCGGUAAACGGCGGCCGUAACUAUAACGGUCCUAAGGUAGCGAAAUUCCUUGUCGGGUAAGUUCCGACCUGCACGAAUGGUGUAAUGAUCUGGACACUGUCUCAACCGUGAGCUCGGUGAAAUUGUAGUAUCGGUGAAGAUGCCGAUUACCCGCAACGGGACGAAAAGACCCCGUGAACCUUUACUGCAACUUAGCAUUGCGUUUGGGCAUUUGAUGUGUAGGAUAGUCCGGAGGCUACGAGUCGGCGACGCCAGUCGUCGAGGAGCCGCUGUUGAAAUACGGACCUUCGAAUGUUUGAGCGCUAACUCGCAGGAGCGAGGACACUGUUUGGUGGGUAGUUUGACUGGGGUGGUCGCCUCCAAAAGCGUAACGGAGGCUU